rnacentral:rRNA from 1 species
AUUGAACGCUGGCGGCAGGCCUAACACAUGCAAGUCGGACGGUAGCACAGAGGAGCUUGCUCCUCGGGUGACGAGUGGCGGACGGGUGAGUAAUGUCUGGGGAUCUGCCCGAUAGAGGGGGAUAACCACUGGAAACGGUGGCUAAUACCGCAUAACGUCGCAAGACCAAAGAGCGGGACCUUCGGGUCUCUCACUAUCGGAUGAACCCAGAUGGGAUUAGCUAGUAGGCGGGGUAACGGCCCACCUAGGCGACGAUCCCUAGCUGGUAUGAGAGGAUGACCAGCCACACUGGAACUGAGACACGGUCCAGACUCCUACGGGAGGCAGCAGUGGGGAGUAUUGCACAAUGGGCGCAAGCCUGAUGCAGCCAUGCCGCGUGUAUGAAGAAGGCCUUCGGGUUGUAAAGCACUUUCAGCGGGGAGGAAGGCGAUGUGGUUAAUAACCGCAUUGAUUGACGUUACCCGCAGAAGAAGCACCGGCUAACUACGUGCCAGCCGCCGCGGUAA